rnacentral:piRNA from 1 species
UAGCCUACUGACCUUGAACUUGUGAUUCUCC